rnacentral:lncRNA from 1 species
UUAAUUAAAAUAUCAUAUAUAUUAUAAUUAUAUCAUAUUUUAAUCAUCACAGAAAAUUCUAAAUUAAUUCAAAUUAUUCUAAUAAUGAAUUGCACUUAAUAUUUGGGGAUUCAAGGCACUUAUUUGUGAAGCAAUUCGCGCACACACACACAAGCAAAUCUGUCAAGUGCUGCAAAAACAAAGGGACAUGGAAAAACCUUUUCGUAUCAAGGAGAAAAAUAUUUCUCAUGUCAUGAAUAAUACAAAGAUUUAUAAAAAUAAAAAUAAAAAUAAAAAAUAAAAAAUAAAAUAAAAUAAAUUGGAUGUUUGACAGUAGUUAUAAUUAAUUAUAAGCUUACAGAAAAAAGUGGAGUUUAGAGACUUAUUUGAAGCUCUUUGUGUGGGCAAAAUCAUGGCCUGCUUAAUUCGUUUAACCAACAUUUGCUGCUAUCUGAAAGUUGGUUUUAAGUAGAGAGAUAUAUAUAUAGAGAGAGAGAGAGAAAUGAUUAAUG